rnacentral:rRNA from 1 species
GGACGAACGCUGGCGGCGUGCUUAACACAUGCAAGUCGAGCGGUAAGGCCCUUUCGGGGGUACGACGAGCGGCGAACGGGUGAGUAACACGUGGGUGACCUGCCUCAGCUCUGGGAUAAGGCCUGGGAAACCGGGUCUAAUACCGGAUAUGACUCCAUGACGCAUGGUUGUGGGGUGAAAGCCUUGUGCGGCUGAGGAUGGGCCCGCGGCCUAUCAGCUUGUUGGUAGGGGUGANGGGCCUACCAAGGCGACGACGGGUAGCCGGCCUGAGAGGGCGACCGG